rnacentral:tRNA from 1 species
GAGGGUAUAGCUUAAGUGGUAGAGCACAUGCUUAGCAUGCUUGAGGUCCUGGGUUCAAUCCCCAGUACCUCCU